rnacentral:tRNA from 1 species
AGAAUAAUAGUUUAUAUAAAACGUUUAAAUUGCAUUUAAAAAAUAUUAUUAAUUUAUUUUA